UGGGGAAUAUUGCACAAUGGGCGCAAGCCUGAUGCAGCCAUGCCGCGUGUGUGAAGAAGGCCUUCGGGUUGUAAAGCACUUUCAGCGAGGAGGAAGGUGGUGAACUUAAUACGUUCAUCAAUUGACGUUACUCGCAGAAGAAGCACCGGCUAACUCCGUGCCAGCAGCCGCGGUAAUACGGAGGGUGCAAGCGUUAAUCGGAAUUACUGGGCGUAAAGCGCACGCAGGCGGUUUGUUAAGUCAGAUGUGAAAUCCCCGGGCUCAACCUGGGAACUGCAUUUGAAACUGGCAAGCUAGAGUCUCGUAGAGGGGGUAGAAUUCCAGGUGUAGCGGUGAAAUGCGUAGAGAUCUGGAGGAAUACCGGUGGCGAAGGCGGCCCCCUGGACGAAGACUGACGCUCAGGUGCGAAAGCGUGGGAGCAAACAGGAUUAGAUACCCUGGUAGUCACGCUGUAAACGAUGUCGAUUUUGGAGGUUGUGCCCUUGAGGCGUGGCUUCCGGAGCUAACGCGUUAAAUCGACCGCCUGGGGAGUACGGCCGCAAGGUU
rnacentral:rRNA from 1 species